rnacentral:rRNA from 1 species
AGAGUUUGAUCAUGGCUCAGGAUGAACGCUAGCUACAGGCUUAACACAUGCAAGUCGAGGGGAAACGACAUCGAAAGCUUGCUUUUGAUGGGCGUCGACCGGCGCACGGGUGAGUAACGCGUAUCCAACCUGCCCACCACUUGGGGAUAACCUUGCGAAAGUAAGACUAAUACCCAAUGACGUCUCUAGAAGACAUCUGAAAGGGAUUAAAGAUUUAUCGGUGAUGGAUGGGGAUGCGUCUGAUUAGCUUGUUGGCGGGGUAACGGCCACAAGGCUACGAUCAGUAGGGGUUCUGAGAGAAAGGUCCCCACAUUGGAACUGAGACCACGGUCCAAACUCCUACGGGAGGCA